rnacentral:rRNA from 1 species
UAGUCUUUUAAUAGAGGGCUGGAAUGAAAGGUUUAACGAGGAACUGACUGUCUCAUUUUAUUUGUUUUAAAAUUUAAUUUUUUAGUUAAAAAGCUAAAAUUUAAUUGGYAGACGAGAAGACCCUAUAGAUCUUUAUAUAAUAUUAUAUAAUUUUUAAUAUAUAAAUAAUUUUAUUUAGUUUUAUAUUUUGUUGGGGUGACAGAAAUAUAUAAAUAACUUUUUUAUUUAUUUAACAUUGAUUCAUGAAUAUCAGAUCCAUUAUUAGUGAUUAUUAGAUUAAGUUACCUUAGGGAUAACAGCGUAAUCUUCCUCCAGAGUUCAUAUUUACAGGAUGGGCUUGCGACCUCGAUGUUGGAUUAAGAUAAUAAUUAGGUGUAGCCGCUUAAUGUAUAGGUCUGUUCGACCUUUAA